UCACUGCUAUCGGUGUUCGACUAANCCAUGCGAGUCAAAUGUUCUUCGUGAACAUGGCGUACUGCUCANUAACACGUGGAUAACCCGCCCUUAGGUCUGGCAUAACCCCGGGAAACUGGGGAUAAUUCCGGAUAGAUCAUGGAUGCUGGAAUGCACCGUGGUCGAAAGCUUUUGUGCCUAAGGAUGGGUCUGCGGUCUAUCAGGUUGUAGUGGGUGUAACGUACCUACUAGCCUACGACGGAUACGGGUUGUGGGAGCAAGAGCCCGGAGAUGGAUUCUGAGACAUGAAUCCAGGCCCUACGGGGCGCAGCAGGCGCGAAAACUUUACAAUGCGGGAAACCGCGAUAAGGGGACACCGAGUGCCAGCAUCCUAUGUUGGCUGUCCAUAUGUAUAAAUAACAUGUGUUAGCAAGGGCCGGGCAAGACCGGUGCCAGCCGCCGCGGUAACACCGGCGGCCCGAGUGGUGGCCACUAUUAUUGGGUCUAAAGGGUCCGUAGCCGGUUUGGUCAGUCUUCCGGGAAAUCUGACGGCUUAACCGUUAGGCUUUCGGGGGAUACUGCCAGGCUUGGGACCGGGAGGGGUAAGAGGUACUACGGGGGUAGGGGUGAAAUCUUGUAAUCCCUGUGGGACCACCAGUGGCGAAGGCGUCUUACCAGAACGGGUCCGACGGGAGGGACGAAAGCUGGGGGCACGAACCGGAUUAGAUACCCGGGUAGUCCCAGCCGUAAACUAUGCUCGCUAGGUGUCAGGGACGGUGCGACCGUUUCUGGUGCCGUAGGGAAGCCGUGAAGCGAGCCACCUGGGAAGUACGGUCGCAAGGCUGAAACUUAAAGGAAUUGGCGGGGGAGCAUUACAACGGGUGGA
rnacentral:rRNA from 1 species